rnacentral:lncRNA from 1 species
AAUUUCAUGUAGCUAACAUGAAAGUGAGAUAAUUUGAACUAGUUUUAUAAAUAAUCUCAAAAUUAAUAUUACUCUAGCUUAAAAGGUAAUGUAGUUUUAAUUUGAAUGUAAUUUUUAAUAAUUUUUUACAGCAUUAUGUGGAUAUAAAAGCAAAUGCAUGAAAAACUUUAACACAAGCAUUACUUAUUUUUGCUAAUUAUAAUUUCAGGAAUGUCUGAUUAGAGUUAGAUAGCAGACUGCAAG